UCCAGUUGAUCCUGCUGGAGAACGCUGCUAGUGGAAUUCGACUAAGCCAUGCAAGUCAGAGACCCUUGAGGUCUCGGCGUACGGCUCAGUAACACGUAAGUAAUCUACCCUAUGGUGGCGGAUAACCUUGGGAAACUGAGGGUAAUACGCCAUAGAAGAACGAUACUGGAACGUUUGUUCUUUUAAAGUCUUCGGACGCCGUAGGAUGGGCUUGCGGUGGAUUAGGCUGUUGGUGGGGUAAUGGCCCACCAAACCUGUGAUCCAUACGGGCUCUGAGAGGAGUAGCCCGGAGAAGGGUACUGAGACAAGGACCCUAGCCCUACGGGGUGCAGCAGGCGCGAAAACUUUGCAAUGCGCGAAAGCGUGACAGGGGGAUUCCACGUGCAGAUUUUAUCUGCUUUUCUCUAGCCUAAAAAGCUAGGGGAAUAAGGGCUGGGCAACAUUCGUGCCAGCCGCCGCGGUAAUACGAACAGCUCGAGUGGCGUUCACGUAUAUUGGGCCUGAAGCGUGCGUAGCCGGUCAAGUAUGUUCUUGGUGAAAUCCUGCGAUUUAAUCGUGGGAAUUGCCAAGAAAACUGCUAGACUUGGGGCCGGGAAGGGUCGGAGGUACUCUGGGGGUAGGGGUAAAAUCCUAUAAUCCUUAGAGGACUAACGGUGGCGAAGGCGUCCGACUGGAACGGGCCCGACCGUGAGGCACGAAGGCUAGGGGAGCGACCCGGAUUAGAUACCCGGUUAGUCCUAGCUGUAAAUGAUGCAAGUUUGGUAUUGCACAAUCUACGAGGUUAUGCAGUGCCGUAGGGAAGCCGUUAAACUUGCCGCCUGGGGAGUACGGUCGCAAGACUGAAACUUAAAGGAAUUGGCGGGAGAGUACCACAAGGGGUGGAGGCUGCGGUUUAAUUGGAUACAACGCCGGACAACUCACCAGGAAUGACAGCACUAUGAUGGUCAGUCUGAAGGGCUUACUUGAGGCGCUGAGAGGUGGUGCAUGGCCAACGUCAGCUCGUGCAGUAAUGUGUCCUGUUAAGUCAGGCAACGAGCGAGACCCACACUUCCAGUUGCGAUUUCCGUUCUUCGGGACGGGAAGCACUCUGGAGGGACCGCCGUGGAUAACACGGAGGAAGGGGUGGGCGACGUUAGGUCAGUAUGCCCCGAAUUUCCUGGGCUACACGCGGCCUACAAUGCGACGGACAAUAGGAUGCAACCCCGAAAGGGGGAGCUAACCCCGUAAACCGUCGCGUAGUUUGGAUUGAGGGUUGGGACUCACCCUCAUGAAAAUGGAAUCCCUAGUAAUCGUGUAUCAUUAUUGCACGGUGAAUACGUCCCUUCUCUUUGCACACACCGCCCGUCAAACCAUCCGAGUGAGGCUUGGACGGGGCCUGAUCCACCAAGGGUUAGGUCGAAUCCGUGCUUUGUGAGGAGGGUUAAGUCGUAACAAGGUA
rnacentral:rRNA from 1 species